rnacentral:rRNA from 1 species
GACGAACGCUGGCGGCGUGCCUAAUACAUGCAAGUUGAGCGCUGAAGGUUGGUACUUGUACCAACUGGAUGAGCAGCGAACGGGUGAGUAACGCGUGGGGAAUCUGCCUUUGAGCGGGGGACAACAUUUGGAAACGAAUGCUAAUACCGCAUAAAAACUUUAAACACAAGUUUUAAGUUUGAAAGAUGCAAUUGCAUCACUCAAAGAUGAUCCCGCGUUGUAUUAGCUAGUUGGUGAGGUAAAGGCUCACCAAGGCGAUGAUACAUAGCCGACCUGAGAGGGGGAUCGGCCACAUUGGGACUGAGACACGGCCCAAACUCCUACGGGAGGCAGCAGUAGGGAAUCUUCGGCAAUGGACGAAAGUCUGACCGAGCAACGCCGCGUGAGUGAAGAAGGUUGUCGGAUCGUAAAACUCUGUUGGUAGAGAAGAACGUUGGUGAGAGUGGAAAGCUCAUAAAGUGACGGUAACUACCCAGAAAGGGACGGCUAACUACGUG